UACGGGAGGCAGCAGUGGGGAAUAUUGGACAAUGGGCGAAAGCCUGAUCCAGCCAUGCCGCGUGUGUGAAGAAGGUCUUCGGAUUGUAAAGCACUUUAAGUUGGGAGGAAGGGUUGUAGAUUAAUACUCUGCAAUUUUGACGUUACCGACAGAAUAAGCACCGGCUAACUCUGUGCCAGCAGCCGCGGUAAU
rnacentral:rRNA from 1 species